rnacentral:rRNA from 1 species
UACGAAGGGGGCUAGCGUUGCUCGGAAUCACUGGGCGGAAAGGGCGCGUAGGCGGACUUUUAAGUCGGGGGUGAAAGCCCAGGGCUCAACCCUGGAAUUGCCUUCGAUACUGAGAGUCUUGAGUUCGGAAGAGGUUGGUGGAACUGCGAGUGUAGAGGUGAAAUUCGUAGAUAUUCGCAAGAACACCAGUGGCGAAGGCGGCCAACUGGUCCGAUACUGACGCUGAGGCGCGAAAGCGUGGGGAGCAAACAGG